rnacentral:lncRNA from 1 species
AUGAAUCCAUCGUAGUUUCAUGGAAAUGGAAAAAACAUAGACCAAAUAUGAAACCACCCAUGGGUCUAAUUUAGAAAAUUUCUAAAUUAGAAAAUAAGUGAUAGAUAUCCAUCUGGGUCUAAUUCAAAGUUUUUAUGAAAAUUUCAUAGCAUUUGGAGUAGUCCUUAUAUGCAAUACAUUAUUUUUUAGUUUGACAUCAAAAAUUGUGUAUCGUAUACCACGAGUUC